rnacentral:rRNA from 1 species
UACGGAGGGGGCUAGCGUUGUUCGGAAUUACUGGGCGUAAAGCGCGCGUAGGCGGUUUUUCAAGUCAGAGGUGAAAGCCCGGUGCUCAACACCGGAAUUGCCUUUGAAACUAGGGAACUUGAAUCCAGGAGAGGUGAGUGGAAUUCCGAGUGUAGAGGUGAAAUUCGUAGAUAUUCGGAAGAACACCAGUGGCGAAGGCGGCUCACUGGACUGGUAUUGACGCUGAGGUGCGAAAGCGUGGGGAGCAAACAGG